UUCCAGCAACCAACACAAAACCAGCUUCCAGUGGCGUAUGUACAUUGCAAAAUUCAUGAAUCUGAUUAGUGCAUAGCACAAUACUUGAUAUAAUUUCUUGGACAACCAUCUCUUUAUGUAGCACUGUAGCUUUUAAAAUCUUACCAUCUACAAAACAGGUCACAAUAUAUGCUCCAUAAGUCACCCGGAUAGAAGACACUAACAUUGGAAGUAUUAUGUUAAGAUGUUUCCUCCACUCUUUCACUAAGUCGGGUCCUGUACUCUCCUAAUAGUUGACAUCUGUUGAGCCAAUGCUUGACAAGAAUUCACCGUCAGGUACAUAUACCAUGCAUAAGUCAUAAUCAUAGUCAGACAACCCUUCAAUCUGACCAACAAGCAUCAACAUUCCUUCAACUUGUUCUUGUUGAGGAGAAAGUGACAUCCAACCCUUGAGAGAAUCAAUCCAUUCAAGUAUUCGUACAGGCUGAGAAAUCACCAAUUUCAGAUUAAUUUGCCAUGUAAAAUUUCCAAUCUUACACCAAAAGUCGAAACUUGUUCGUAUGAACAGAGCUCAGUCAAUAAAGAUAAAUUAUUGCACGUGCCAUCUUAUCAGACAAUGGACAGAUAUAAGAUCUGAAAUUUCCACUAAAAUUAUUUGCAUUCUCUAAUAUAUACCUCUCCACACUAAUAUUCCUCUUGUAAUUGGC
rnacentral:lncRNA from 1 species